AUGGCCGACGUGGAUGUUUCCGGCGAGAAGACAACGUCGCUGAUCAUCGACACGGCGAUUCAGACGGAAUUCCAGUGCGACGCCGAGUCCGGCCCGCCUGCCGGCGCAACCACCGGCAAGAAGAAGCGGAUGCCCGCCCAGCACGUCAGUUACAUCCUGGCCAUGCCGACAGAGAAGCCCGAGGAAUUUGUCCUGCCCAACUUCCUCCGGGGCGACAGCAACAUGGCGGAGAAGAUGGGCGUGACGGAGGAGUGGCUCGAGGAUAGAAGGCGGAUGUACAGGGAAUCCGCCGUCCGUACCCAGAGGGUCCACGACGACUUCGUGAAGUACCAGGCACAGAUCCGCGACGAGCUGUUCGAGAAGGGCUAA
rnacentral:rRNA from 1 species